AGGACAUACAGAUUUCUAUGGCAUAAGGCACAAAAACCGCCUAUGAAGUGAUGCUGUGGUGUCUUCAUUUUCUUGUUUUUAAGAACUUAAAGCAACUGGUUCUUCUAUCCAUUGUCCUUAUACCUGUAUGUGUGGGCAGAGGCCCAAGAAUCUAUCACUUCCUUGAAUUCACUGAGUGUGCAGGAGGAAUGUCAGAGAGUGGAAGAAGAGAUCAAAUGAAGAGAGGGCAUGGCAUAGAUUUGAUCUUCCAACAGAGAACAGAAGAAAGGUUUCCUAGUAUGGCAGUCCAUUCUGGCAUGGAACUGAGUACCAUGGAAAGAUUCAAACUGAGCUUUGGAAAUGAAGAAUUGAGAGAACUUGGGAAGGUUUGGGAAGGACAUGGCCAAAAUGAGCAACAGCUUGGGGGAGAAAAAAGACACCUUUUCCUGCUGGAGGAAAAAUGGAAGAAAUUAUUCACUGGAUGGCACGUUCCAACGAGGCCAGGGGCUGCAUCUUCCAUCCUCCCUCAGUGGCCUCCUCCUCUUUCUUUCUGCUCCCCAGCUGGGAACACAGUGUAUUCUUCUCAGUCUGUUGCUCAUUUUAGUCUGAAAAGGAAAAAGCCAAGGGAGUGGAACCAAUGACAACCUCCAAGAAUCCUGCAUGAGGAAUCAGAGGAAAGUGGAGAUGAAAAGAGGUUUCACGCUCCACAAUAUCAGAACAAGAAGAAAAAUUCUAGAAUGCACUUGAAAAGUAACUGUCUUUGUCUGAAACAGGUGUGAGACUCUUGAACAUGCUACCAAAAAUGCGAAGCCUCUUUCUUUGGAGACCUCAAAAAGAAGGCUCAGGCGCCAACAUUUUGAAAGGGUAGAUUGCACCCCUAUACUCCCGGGGCGACAUCUCAAUGUAACUGAAAAGCCAGUGACGCCUGUGACUUUGCUGAUGUCAAAAGGCUAAUUCCAACAUGACUUCACGAGCUAAAACGGCUUCUCCAUCCAUGGCAAGUUUUGCGAGCACUCCGAGGAUUCCAGCGACGUGGUUAAGCCGCCGGGAAGACCUGGGAGAGCUUUUCCAAUAUCAUCCGAGGCUUUGUGAGAGAGCGAAUGUCGAGCCCGUAAUAGAUGCUUUCUGAUCCUCCUCACACUGCAUCUGGCUCUCCUAAGUAUUGGUCCUAUUACGUUUUUAAAAAUAGCUCAGAAGUAAUUUGAGUGCUGAACUGGCUACAGGAUAAAAAAAACCCCACCUGAAUACAUUCUAACUUCUUCCUAUCAGCCAGAGACCAAGAACCGCAGUCGCAGUUUCCUCGGAGCUAAUUUUCAGCAUUAGGGUUUAUCAGAACCUAAAUUCUGUUCUAAUAAACGAUGGAACAGCAGCCACUCUUUCAGCCACUUAUUUGGGCAACCUGGGAAUUGGCAGACGAGUUAAAAUUUUUCAUUGGUGACAACACACAGCUGUUGAGGUGCAAAGAUCUGAGACUCUAAUCAGACCAGGUUAUAUACGU
rnacentral:lncRNA from 1 species